GUUUACAGCCAUAUCACAUUGAGAGCACCGGUUCUCGUCCAAUCACUGAAGUUAAGCAACGUCGAGCCUAGUGAGUACUUAGAUGGGAAACCUAGGUGCUGUAAGCA
rnacentral:rRNA from 1 species